UUGUCUUUUAAAUGAAGACCCGUAUGAAUGGCAUAACGAGGGCUUAACUGUCUCCUUUUUCCAGUCAAUAAAAUUGAUCUCCCCGUGCAGAAGCGGGGAUACUUACAUAAGACGAGAAGACCCUAUGGAGCUUUAAACACCAGGACAGCCCAUGUCAAGUCCCCCUAACCAAAAGACAUAAACCAAUUGGCCCCUGUCCUAAUGUUUUUGGUUGGGGCGACCGCAGGGAAACAAGAAACCCCCGCGUGGACAAAGAGCACUACAGCUCUUACAACCCAGAACUACAACUCAAAGUAACAGAACUUCUGACCAAUAGUGAUCCGGCAUUAGCCGAUCAACGGACCGAGUUACCCUAGGGAUAACAGCGCAAUCCUCUUUUAGAGCCCAUAUCGACAAGAGGGUUUACGACCUCGAUGUUGGAUCAGGACAUCCUAAU
rnacentral:rRNA from 1 species